UCCGCCACGGACGGCGGCGGUGCUAAUCAGCAACAAGUUUUUCGUUAGAAAAACUUGACACGAACAGUGUACAAGGAAGUACAAUGUUCGUGUUAC
rnacentral:sRNA from 1 species